ensembl:ncRNA lncRNA:CR45519 long non-coding RNA:CR45519
GUCGACGCACGCACCGCCGGCUGCAUUUAAAAAUGGCCAAAAAGGAAAUGCAGCACGAUUCUGUCCAAAUGGAUGCCAGGAUACUAGGACUCCAGGACUUUGGGACGCCCGGAGAUCGGAACAGCAGGAUAACAGAUGGUGAGGCGCUGGUUCUUAGUGGCAAGUCAUAAAUGUCAGGAGCUUCUUAGACCCGAAAUCAUCCGAGACACACAUGCGAGCAGCCAGUCGUGCACUGAAAAAAAUCCAGCCACUUCAAAUGAAUUCUGAUAAUUCGGAUGAAAGCGAGCGCUUCCUUUAAACAAGUAGUGGUGGCAACUUAAAACAACUUUGUUCGCGAGUGUAUUUAUUCGACUGACAAAUAACUCAAAAUGUGAUUGAUGGCGGCCCUGACACGCUGACACAUAUAAAUGCCUGCAAAUGGAGCACGAGACGCUGCCGCUGACGUGUCAUGAGGGUCCGGAAUUUCGAAUCCGGAAUCCAUGCAUGGCUACCAGUAGCAGCAUCAGCAGCAGGAUGAGCACCCCCACCCACCUCCGCCCCCCCAGAAGUCGUGCUCCUAAUCCACCCCGGCCACAGACCAAAAAAAAAAAGUAGAGAAAAAAACCAGAAACAGAACCUUUGUUUUGGCAAUAGGCGUGCGUGAUUUUUGCGGCCGCAUCAUUACUCAACGUUCUAAGUGCUUUUCUUGGCAAAUUCAGCUGCCAGUGGGUGGAGUGGGCGGCGUUUAACCCACGAUUAUUGCCAUUCAUGGCCCGAGACUAAAGUAUGUCAACAAACUUCUGAGGACGCCGGAACUGGCCCCAAGUUGGCCCCAAGUUGGUGGCAACUUACUGCGAGACAACUGUUUCAGUUCAGUUUCAGUUUCAGUUUCAGUGGCCAAAUGAAUGCAAUUUGUAGUCCAGGUCCACGUGAAAUUGGGACUCGGGGCUUUCAUUUACAUUAAGUAAUUACGUGGAAAACCCACGGCAAAUGGCCGAGCAAUAAAGAGGAAAAUGGGGGUUGGGGGCGAAAGUCGGUGUAAUGUUUAGAAUCUAUUCCAGCCCCUGUCCGCGCCGCAGGCCAACUUUUCAGACUUUUAUGCGGAAUGCUCCUGUUUAGUCCAAUUUGUUGGAAUCCACCAUUAAGUGGAGGUUGUUUUUUUUUUUAAAAGAGAACUAGUUUAAUUCAUAAUUGCCCGUUUCUAUUACUAAUUGGGCAACUGAAUGCCUCUUAUCUCGAAAAUGAUGAGCAUCCGGUUGUUUGAGUGGGAUGCUGCUGGAUGAUUGGACCGUGUAUUUAUUCCUUCGUUUAAAAUUAAUGCCCCAACAUGGUGGCUGCCUGCUUGGCUGAUAUGUGAGUGCUGUCCAUUAGGAUCGGUUGACAUAUGUCCCACCUUAUGUGUGCCCCAAGGGCCAGCAAACAGCGCUGCUCAUCUUCAUUCAGCUCAAGUUGUCUUGAAUGGCGAAGUUCGGAGAGUCCGGAGUGCGUAAUACAAAUUGCCGGCAAUUUUGAAACAUGACCACCCCAAUCCAGGACGGUAGCUACCGCUCUGGGAAAACCGCCCACCAGGAGCAAGCGUUCCAUGGCCGGAGCGAUGGCAUCACUUCAAAACUGAUGACACUGUCAAUUUGGAUGGGCGCCCGUUGCACGCAGGCAUUUCGGGUUGAUUGGGGUGGGUGGGGGCUGCCCCGCCCACUUUACGCCACAUGAUGAAUCUCUCACUCCACUCCACACUCCAAACCGCCCACACAUCCACAUUCACAUCGAGUGGGCCCAUCCCCCGUGGGUGAUGCAUUGCAAUGACAUUUUCAUGCUUUAUCUGCGGCUGGCCUCGCAUAAAUUCCUGUUUUCCACGCCCAGCAGGAUCGCAGGUUGAGUUUUUUAUGGGAGGGGGUUGGGGGUUUGGCUUCGCAAACUGCCGGAAAAGGUGGCCAAAUUUAUAUAAAAUAAUUUAUGGAAUUUGCAGAAUAUAAAUAAAUGAUUGCCUUAGAAAGGCAAGAAAGUACCACAAUUUAGUGACGUAUUCAAUAUACACUCUAAACACCCAAGAACAUUACUUAGCCCCCUUUUGCUGGGCGCCACUGACUUUUGCGGCUGCUGCUGCUGCUGCUUGACAUAAAAAUGCAGUCAAUCCUCUUGACAAAUUUUACUUUUAUUACACGCUUUGUUUAUGUGAAUUUGUGUACAUGGCAUUUGCACAUCAUCAAUGUACGAGCUUUUCCCUUCGCCGCUGCUUGUGCGAAACAUUGGCGAAUAGGAGUGAAAAUACGAUUGCUCCUGCUGCCAUCAUGAUCAUCAUCGUCAUCGUCAUCAUUAUCGACAUGGAAACUGUGCACAUGACUUGGCAAUGCUCUAAAAAGAAGUCCGGCUUGCUUUUCCCACUUGCCGUUCGGAUGACAUGACUUUGCGGCCAACAUCGUCCUGUUGGCUUGGACAAUGUCCUUCCUUGCUUACAAGUGGCUCUUCUCGGGGGUUUCGAUGGGGAUUUUGCUAUGACGCCGCCAAGUGGAAUGCAAAUAUUUGCCAGCUUUAUUAGUGCUUCGAAAUGAGUUGGGUGUAAUCUAUGAAAAUUUUGACUAUUGAAAAU